AUUGAACGCUGGCGGCAUGCCUUACACAUGCAAGUCGAACGGCAGCACGGGUGCUUGCACCUGGUGGCGAGUGGCGAACGGGUGAGUAAUACAUCGGAACGUACCUUAUCGUGGGGGAUAACGCAGCGAAAGCUGUGCUAAUACCGCAUACGCCCUGAGGGGGAAAGCGGGGGAUCGAAAGACCUCGCGCGAUUAGAGCGGCCGAUGCCUGAUUAGCUUGUUGGUGGGGAAAAAGCCCACCAAGACGACGAUCAGUAGCUGGUCUGAGAGGACGAUCAGCCACACGGGGACUAAGACACGGCCCAGACUCCUACGGGAGGCAGCAGUGGGGAAUUUUGGACGAUGGGGGCAACCCUGAUCCAGCAAUGCCGCGUGAGUGAAGAAGGCCUUCGGGUUGUAAAGCUCUUUUGUCAGGGAAGAAACACCGGCUCUAACACAGUCCGGGAAUGACGGUACCUGAAGAAUAAGCACCGGCUAACUACGUGCCAGCCGCCGCCGUAA
rnacentral:rRNA from 1 species